AAUGGGCGAAAGCCUGACGCAGCCAAUCCGCGUGGGUGAUGAAGGCCUUCGGGUUGUAAAGCCCUGUCGUGAGGGACGAAGUUCUGACGGUACCUCACAAGAAAGCACCGGCUAACCCCGUGCCAGCAGCCGCGGUAAUACGGGGGGUGCAAGCGUUGCUCGGAAUCACUGGGCGUAAAGCGUCCGCAGGUGGAAAGGUCAGUCGGUCGUGAAAGCCCGGGGCUCAACCCCGGAAAUGCGAUCGAAACUUCCUUUCUUGAGUUCGGGAGAGGGGAGUGGAAUUCCUGGUGUAGAGGUGAAAUUCGUAGAUAUCAGGAGGAACACCGGUGGCGAAAGCGGCUCCCUGGCCCGAAACUGACACUCAUGGACGAAAGCGUGGGUAGCAAA
rnacentral:rRNA from 1 species